UGAAGUGAUUUAGCUGUUGUCACACAGCUGGCAUCUGAGACCAGAUUUGAACUCAGGAAGGCUAGUCUUCCUGACUUCAGGCGGAACACUAUCCACUUCGCCACCUUGAUGCCCAGCCUGCUAAAGAUCCUUUAUGCCUACAUGAAUUGGGAGAAGUGAAUAUCAGUUAUCUAGAUGGACAAAUCUUGGGAGGUCCUUUGUCAUGCCCACAAUUCAAGUCUUAAAAAGAGCUUUGAUAUCACUCCCAGGCAGAAUAAACAGAGUUACAGCAAAGGGUGAGUAUUAAGA
rnacentral:lncRNA from 1 species